rnacentral:rRNA from 1 species
CCUACGGGGGGCAGCAGUGGGGAAUAUUGCGCAAUGGGGGAAACCCUGACGCAGCGACGCCGUGUGCGGGAAGAAGGCCUUCGGGUCGUAAACCGCUGUCAGGAGGGAAGAAACCAUUAAAGUCGAAUAGGCUUUUUUGCUGACGGUACCUCCAGAGGAAGCACCGGCUAACUCCGUGCCAGCAGCCGCGGUAAUACGGAGGGUGCAAGCGUUAAUCGGAAUCACUGGGCGUAAAGCGUGCGUAGGCGGCGCAGUAAGUCAGGGGUGAAAGCCCUCGGCUCAACCGAGGAAUUGCCUCUGAUACUGCUGUGCUUGAGUCUUGGAGAGGCAGGCGGAAUUCCAGGUGUAGGAGUGAAAUCCGUAGAUAUCUGGAGGAACACCGGUGGCGAAGGCGGCCUGCUGGACAAGUACUGACGCUGAGGUACGAAAGCGUGGGGAGCAAAC